rnacentral:rRNA from 1 species
CUUUCCCUCUGGCGGCAUGCCUUACACAUGCAAGUCGAACGGUAACGGGCCUUCGGGUGCCGACGAGUGGCGAAAGGGUGAGUAAUACAUCGGAACGUGCCCGAUCGUGGGGGAUAACGAGGCGAAAGCUUUGCUAAUACCGCAUACGAUCUACGGAUUAAAGCAGGGGACCGCAAGGCUUUGCGCGGACGGUGCGGCCGAUGGCAGAUUAGGUAGUUGUUGGGAUAAAAGCUUACCAAGCCGACGAUCUGUAGCUGGUCUGAGAGGAUGAUCAGCCACACUGGGACUGAGACACGGCCCAGACUCCUACGGGAGGCAGCAGUGGGGAAUUUUGGACAAUGGGCGCAAGCCUGAUCCAGCCAUGCCGCGUGGAGGAUGAAGGCCUUCGGGUUGUAAACUGCUUUUGUACGGAACGAAAAGCCUUCUUUUAAUACAGGAUGGUCAUGACGGUACCGUAAGAAUAAGCACCGGCUAACUACGUG